rnacentral:rRNA from 1 species
GCGAAAACUUUACAAUGCUGGCAACAGCGAUAAGGGAACCUCGAGUGCCAGGUUACAAAUCUGGCUGUAGAGAUGCCUAAAAAGCAUUUCAUAGCAAGGGCCGGGCAAGACCGGUGCCAGCCGCCGCGGUAACACCGGCGGCUCGAGUGGUAACCGUUAUUAUUGGGUCUAAAGGGUCUGUAGCCGGACGGAUAAGUCUCUUGAGAAAUCUGGCAGCUUAACUGUCAGGCUUUCAGGAGAUACUGUCUGGCUCGAGGCCGGGAGAGGUGAGAGGUACUUCAGGGGUAGGUGUGAAAUCUUGUAAUCCUUGAAGUACCACCAGUGGCGAAGGCGUCUCACCAGAACGGACCUGACGGCAAGGGACGAAAGCUAGGGGCACGAACC